rnacentral:rRNA from 1 species
GCAUAUCAAUAAGCGGAGGAAAAGAAACUAACAAGGAUUCCCCUAGUAACUGCGAGUGAAGCGGGAAAAGCUCAAAUUUAAAAUCUGGCAGUCUUCGAUUGUCCGAGUUGUAAUCUAGAGAAGCAUUAUCCGCGCUGGACCGUGUACAAGUCUCCUGGAAUGGAGCGUCAUAGAGGGUGAGAAUCCCGUCUUUGACACGGACUGCCAGGGCUUUGUGAUGUGCUCUCAAAGAGUCGAGUUGUUUGGGAAUGCAGCUCAAAAUGGGUGGUAAAUUCCAUCUAAAGCUAAAUAUUGGCGAGAGACCGAUAGCGAACAAGUACCGUGAGGGAAAGAUGAAAAGAACUUUGGAAAGAGAGUUAAACAGUACGUGAAAUUGCUGAAAGGGAAACGCUUGAAGUCAGUCGCGUUGUCCGGGAAUCAACCUUGCUUUUGCUGGGCGUACUUCCUGGUCAACGGGUCAGCAUCAAUUUUGACCGUUGGAUAAAGUUGCUGGGAAUGUGGCAUCUUCGGAUGUGUUAUAGCCCAGUUUCGCAUACAACGGUUGGGAUUGAGGAACUCAGCACGCCGCAAGGCCGGGUUUUUAACCACGUUCGUGCUUAGGAUGCUGGCAUAAUGGCUUUAAUCGACCCGUCUUGAAACACGGACCAAGGAGUCUAACAUGCCUGCGAGUGUUUGGGUGGAAAACCCGAGCGCGUAAUGAAAGUGAAAGUUGAGAUCCCUGUCGUGGGGAGCAUCGACGCCCGGACUUGAACUUCUGUGACGGAUCCGCGGUAGAGCAUGUAUGUUGGGACCCGAAAGAUGGUGAACUAUGCCUGAAUAGGGUGAAGCCAGAGGAAACUCUGGUGGAGGCUCGUAGCGAUUCUGACGUGCAAAUCGAUUCGUCAAAUUUUGGGUAUAGGGGCGAAAGACUAAUCGAACCAUCUAGUAGCUGGUUCCUGCCGAA